rnacentral:lncRNA from 1 species
AUAUGGGAAUCUGAAGUCAACUUUGCCAAAAUUGGAGCUUACAGCUCCAUGGACUUUUUUCCAAGUGCCUGAAUCGAAACAUGAGAGGAUGAAGCUAGAAGAGAUCAUUUAAAUGGCUUCCAGAGUUCUGGAUGAACAGUUUCUUCAAGAAGGAAUUUGGGAACACCAAAAUCAAGUCCUCAAGUGUGGCAAGCUAAUAUAACGAAAAAUAAUGGUUACCCAUCAGUAGAAGAAACCAACAGAACAUAGCAACAUAAAAGUACUACAGACUGUGAGGAUUGCUAAUGUGAGAUGAGAAUCUACUCACAAACAUU